CCACCCCUCCCAUCCCCACCGCCGCCCCACAGCGCCCCUAAAAACCCCAAACCCUCCCGACCCCAUAACCCCUCCCGACCCCAUAUCCCCCCUCCCCGACCCCAUAACUCCCCCCCCUUCGACCCCAUAACCCCCCCCUCCUCCAUCCCCUAUAGGCUCUGUGUAUGGCCGUCACCACCAGCGACGUGGCGGAGACUCAGUCCCUCCUCUUUUGUGGGGCCGACGUGAGCUGCCCUACAGGCGACCCCAAAUGUCCGACCCCAUUGGAUUUGGCACAGAGGAGCGGCCAAAGGCUGCAGAUGGAAUUCCUACAACACAACCGAACGUCGGAACCGCCCUGCCCGGAUUUGGGGUGCGCCGCGGAUCGCCCUAUUCCCGUCUGCUGCCCUCCGUCACUCACUGCGGCUUCCUCUAUAAGACCCCUUCCAUGGCCAAAGCCCUCAGCGAGAGGAAAGGGCAGGAAGG
rnacentral:lncRNA from 1 species